UCCAUCGGGGUAGCCCCGACCCGGAGGGUGAGCUCAGCCUGCUGGCGUCACGCCCACUUCCUGGCGGGAACAAGAUGACGUCCCACGGGGCGUGCGGCCCUGAUGCUUCCAUGAAGGGGAGGGAAUGACUACGACAGGCGCUCGGCAGACCCCUACCCUGCCAUCAUCCCCGGGGGCCUCUCUUCCCAUCACCCCGGGAAGGAUGAGCUGCCCCCAGGCGCUCGGCGGACCCCCUACCCUGUCGUCACCCCCGGGGGCCUCUCUUCCCAUCGCCCCAGGAAGGAUGAGCUGCCCCCACGGCUCCCCCAGCUCUUGGUGAGUGGGAAGGCCCCUCCCCCUGAGCCCUGCAACGCUCCCAGUCUCAGCCCCAUCUGUGUCUCUGCUUCCUUGCAGGAUCAGCUGUGGGGGUGGGGAGGCAGCCUCUCCCACCCUGUACUAGCCCAGGAGGCAGGGACACAUCCAGCCCUCUCGUGGGUAGGCCGUAGGGCUCAGUGGGAACCCACACCUGUCCCAGGAACACUGCAAUGCCAGUCGGUGGCUUCAGAGACUAAUGGAUCCAUCCCUGCAACUCUCCUUCCCGUCAGAAUGCGGGCAAGGGCGCCACGGGCAAGGGUGCCACGGGCAAGGGCGCCACGGGCAAGGCACGGGCAGCCCAGGGUCUCCGGGAGACACGCGCCCUAGCACGGCCGAGAGAAGCCGGGCCGUGGGUCGGGCGCAACGGCCGAGUUCACACCCUGGUCCACCCAGGCAGAAGGGACGGGACGUCCAGUCUGUAACGGAGACUCUGCCAAGCCCCACCCUGCUGAGUGACCCCCAGCUUGGAGUUCAGGCCCAGGGGUCAAGGGACAGCUUUGGGCCCUCCUGGGCCUGUGACUUCCGACCACUGAGGCAGCCCCUCUGAGACCAGUUCGGAUGUCCGGACGCUGCUAAGACAAAGUGUUCAAGAGGGUCCCCACGAUGCAAGGGACCGAAGCAGGGUCCCCCUUCCUGGCCUCCAAGCAUUCCCGGGGGCCCCGCCCCGUCCGUGUGCCGGGACGGCGGCAGCUGUGUCGCAGGCGAACGCGGAGUCAGGAACCCCGGGAGUCCGGGCAGCACAUAACCCAGCCGGGCGACAACACACAGAUCCCACCCACCUUUCUCUAUAAAUAAACCUGUGGAGGAGAAGCAGCGCUCGCCCCAAAA